rnacentral:rRNA from 1 species
AGAGUUUGAUCAUGGCUCAGAUUGAACGCUGGCGGCAGGCUUAACACAUGCAAGUCGAACGGUAACGCGAGGUGCUUGCACCUUGGCGACGAGUGGCGGACGGGUGAGUAACGCGUAGGAAUCUACCCAGUAGCGGGGGAUAGCCCGGGGAAACCCGGAUUAAUACCGCAUACGCCCCAGGGGAAAGAGGGCCUCUUCUUGAAAGCUCUCACUAUUGGAGGAGCCUGCGUUGGAUUAGCUAGUUGGUGGGGUAAGGGCUCACCAAGGCGACGAUCCAUAGCUGUUCUGAGAGGAAGAUCAGCCACACUGGGACUGAGACACGGCCCAGACUUCUACGGAAGGCAGCAGUGGGGAAUAUUGUGCAAUGGGCGCAAGCCUGACACAGCCAUGCCGCGUGUGUGAAGAAGGCCUUAGGGUUGUAAAGCACUUUCAGCGGGGAGGAAAAUCGGUCGGUUAAUAACCUCGAGUCUUGACGUUACCCACAGAAGAAGCACCGGCUAACUCCGUGCCAGCAGCCGCGGUAAUACGGAGGGUGCAAGCGUUAAUCGGAAUUACUGGGCGUAAAGCGUACGUAGGCGGUUUUGUAAGUAGGCUGUGAAAGCCCCAGGCUCAACCUGGGAAUGGCAGUCUAAACUACUCGACUAGAGAUCAGCAGAGGGAGGUGGAAUUCCUGGUGUAGCGGUGAAAUGCGUAGAGAUCAGGAAGAACACCGGUGGCGAAGGCGACCUCCUGGGCUGCGUCUGACGCUGAGGUACGAAAGCGUGGGUAGCAAACAGGAUUAGAUACCCUGGUAGUCCACGCCGUAAACGAUGAGAACUAGCCGUUGGGGGUAUAUGUCCCUUUAGUGUCGAAGCUAACGCGUUAAGUUCUCCGCCUGGGGAGUACGGCCGCAAGGUUAAAACUCAAAUGAAUUGACGGGGGCCCGCACAAGCGGUGGAGCAUGUGGUUUAAUUCGAUGCAACGCGAAAAACCUUACCUACUCUUGACAUCCUCGGAACUUGUCAGAAAUGACUUGGUGCCUUCGGGAGCCGAGUGACAGGUGCUGCAUGGCUGUCGUCAGCUCGUGUCGUGAGAUGUUGGGUUAAGUCCCGUAACGAGCGCAACCCUUGUCCUUAGUUGCCAGCACGUAAUGGUGGGAACUCUAAGGAGACUGCCGGUGAUAAACCGGAGGAAGGUGGGGACGACGUCAAGUCAUCAUGGCCCUUAUGAGUAGGGCUACACACGUGCUACAAUGGUCGGUACAGAGGGUUGCAAACUCGCGAGAGUAAGCUAAUCUCAGAAAGCCGAUCUUAGUCCGGAUUGGAGUCUGCAACUCGACUCCAUGAAGUUGGAAUCGCUAGUAAUCGCGGAUCAGAAUGCCGCGGUGAAUACGUUCCCGGGCCUUGUACACACCGCCCGUCACACCAUAGGAGUGGGUUGCAAAAGAAGUGGGUAGACUAACCUUCGGGAGGUCGCUCACCACUUUGUGAUUCAUGACUGGGGUGAAGUCGUAACAAGGU